rnacentral:rRNA from 1 species
CUCGCCUGGUUUUUAAAAACAUUUCUAUUAAAUAUAAUUAGUAGUAAAAUCUGCUCAAUGAAAAUUAAAUAGCCGCAUUCGUGCUAAGGUAGUACAAUAAUUAGUCUUUUAAUUAAAGACCAAACAAAAGAUCUAACUUUUAAAUUAACAUUUUAACAUAAAUAUUAAAAUUAUUUUAAUUGUAAAAAAACAAUUAUAAAUAAAGAAGACGAUAAGACCCUAUUGAACUUAACUUAAGUUUAACUGGGGAAGUUAAUAAAUUAUUAUUUUUAUUUGUUUAAAAACAAAAACGAUCUAAUAUAAUUAAUUUAAUAAUCAAGUUACCAUAGGGAUAACAGCGUAAUAAAAUUUUAAAGACCUUAUUCAAAAUAAAGUUUACGACCUCGAUGUUGAAUUAAUUAACUAAUCCACGCAAUAGUAGAUUAAGUAAGUCUGUUCGACUUUUAAAUAAUUACAUGAUCUGAG